rnacentral:rRNA from 1 species
GUAAAGGCGCACCAAGGCGACGAUCCUUAGCUGGUCUGAGAGGAUGAUCAGCCACACUGGGACUGAGACACGGCCCAGACUCCUACGGGAGGCAGCAGUGGGGAAUAUUGGACAAUGGGCGAAAGCCUGAUCCAGCAAUGCCGCGUGAGUGAUGAAGGCCUUAGGGUUGUAAAGCUCUUUUACCCGGGAUGAUAAUGACAGUACCGGGAGAAUAAGCUCCGGCUAACUCCGUGCCAGCAGCCGCGGUAAUACGGAGGGAGCUAGCGUUGUUCGGAAUUACUGGGCGUAAAGCGCACGUAGGCGGCUUUGUAAGUUAGAGGUGAAAGCCUGGAGCUCAACUCCAGAAUUGCCUUUAAGACUGCAUCGCUCGAAUCCAGGAGAGGUGAGUGGAAUUCCGAGUGUAGAGGUG